AUUCAGCUGACGAGUCUCAAAUAGGACGUAAAACGCGUCUUGGAU
rnacentral:hammerhead_ribozyme from 1 species